rnacentral:rRNA from 1 species
GACGAACGCUGGCGGCGUGCUUAAUACAUGCAAGUCGAACGGAAAGGCCCUGCUUUUGCGGGGUGCUCGAGUGGCGAACGGGUGAGUAACACGUGAGUAACCUGCCCUUGACUUUGGGAUAACUUCAGGAAACUGGGGCUAAUACCGGAUAGGAUCUCCUGCUGCACGGUGGGGGAUGGAAAGUUUCGGCGGUUUGGGAUGGAAUCGCGGCUUAUCAGCUUGUUGGUGGGGUAGUGGCUUACCAAGGCUUCGACGGAUAGCCCGCAUGGGAGGGUGGACAGCCACAAUGCGCCUGCGGUACGCCCCAGACUGCAACGGGAGGCAGCAGUCGGGAAUCUUGCGCAGUAGGCCCACGCCUGAUGUAGAAGCGCCGCGUGCGGAAUGCCGUCCUACGGGUUGUAAACAGAUGUCGCAUGUACCGAAGCGUGCGUGACGGUAAUGGGUAAGAAAGCCCCGGCUAACUACGUG